GAUGAACGCUGGCGGCGUGCUUAACACAUGCAAGUCGAGCGAGAAGUUUUGAAAAGAUUCUUCGGAUGAAAUUUAAAAUGGAAAGCGGCGGACGGGUGAGUAACGCGUAGGCAACCUGCCCCAUACAAAGGGAUAGCAUUUGGAAACGAAUAUUAAUACCUUAUGAAACUUAACUAGUGCAUGCUAGGUAGGUCAAAGAUUUAUCGGUAUGGGAUGGGCCUGCGUCUGAUUAGCUAGUUGGUGAGGUAACGGCUCACCAAGGCGACGGUCAGUAGCCGACCUGAGAGGGUGAACGGCCACAUUGGAACUGAGACACGGUCCAAACUCCUACGGGAGGCAGCAGUGGGGAAUAUUGCACAAUGGGGGAAACCCUGAUGCAGCAACGCCGCGUGAACGAUGAAGGCCUUUGGGUCGUAAAGUUCUGUUCUAGGUGAUGAAAACUGACAGUAACCUAGGAGAAAGCCCCGGCUAACUCCGUG
rnacentral:rRNA from 1 species